rnacentral:rRNA from 1 species
GCAGUCGAGCGGUAGAGAGAAGCUUGCUUCUCUUGAGAGCGGCGGACGGGUGAGUAAUGCCUAGGAAUCUGCCUGGUAGUGGGGGAUAACGUUCGGAAACGGACGCUAAUACCGCAUACGUCCUACGGGAGAAAGCAGGGGACCUUCGGGCCUUGCGCUAUCAGAUGAGCCUAGGUCGGAUUAGCUAGUUGGUGAGGUAAUGGCUCACCAAGGCGACGAUCCGUAACUGGUCUGAGAGGAUGAUCAGUCACACUGGAACUGAGACACGGUCCAGACUCCUACGGGAGGCAGCAGUGGGGAAUAUUGGACAAUGGGCGAAAGCCUGAUCCAGCCAUGCCGCGUGUGUGAAGAAGGUCUUCGGAUUGUAAAGCACUUUAAGUUGGGAGGAAGGGUUGUAGAUUAAUACUCUGCAAUUUUGACGUUACCGACAGAAUAAGCACCGGCUAACUCUGUGCCAGCAGCCGCGGUAAUACAGAGGGUGCAAGCGUUAAUCGGAAUUACUGGGCGUAAAGCGCGCGUAGGUGGUUUGUUAAGUUGGAUGUGAAAUCCCCGGGCUCAACCUGGGAACUGCAUUCAAAACUGACUGACUAGAGUAUGGUAGAGGGUGGUGGAAUUUCCUGUGUAGCGGUGAAAUGCGUAGAUAUAGGAAGGAACACCAGUGGCGAAGGCGACCACCUGGACUAAUACUGACACUGAGGUGCGAAAGCGUGGGGAGCAAACAGGAUUAGAUACCCUGGUAGUCCACGCCGUAAACGAUGUCAACUAGCCGUUGGAAGCCUUGAGCUUUUAGUGGCGCAGCUAACGCAUUAAGUUGACC